rnacentral:rRNA from 1 species
CCUACGGGAGGCAGCAGUAGGGAAUCUUCCGCAAUGGACGAGAGUCUGACGGAGCACGCCGCGUGAGUGAUGAAGGCUUUCGGGUCGUAAAACUCUGUUGUUAGGGAAGAACGAGUACAAGAGUAACUGCUUGUACCUUGACGGUACCUAACCAGAAAGCCACGGCUAACUACGUGCCAGCAGCCGCGGUAAUA